rnacentral:rRNA from 1 species
AUGCUGAAACGACGCCACUAUGACAUCAGUGAUGAUCACAGUUGCCUUCUUUGUGGGGGCCCAGAUGAAGAGACGGUGGACCAUAUGAUUUUUACGUGCCCUUUCAGUCAAGCCUGUUGGAGUCAACUUGGGAUCGUCUGGCCGAGAUUCGACUGCCGUCUACACGUUUUGCAAACCACCAAGGACUCCUGGAGCGGUCCUCUAUUCCUUGACAUUUUCCUUGUGGCAGCUUGGAGCUUAUGGAAGGAAAGAAACAACAAGCAUUUUAGAAGGGUGGACCCUUCCAUCAACUCCUGGCUUCGGAGGUUCAAGGAAGAUUUUGGACUACUACAGCACAGAACCAAGAGGGCUCACUCUGUCCUCAUAACUUCCUACUUAGCUGAUCUUUGA